rnacentral:rRNA from 1 species
UACGGAGGGUGCAAGCGUUAUCCGGAUUUACUGGGUUUAAAGGGUGUGUAGGCGGACUUUUAAGUCCGUGGUGAAAUCUCCGGGCUCAACCCGGAAACUGCCAUGGAUACUAUUUGUCUUGAAUGUUGUUGAGGUGGGCGGAACGGGUCAUGUAGCGGUGAAAUGCAUAGAUAUGACCCGGAACACCGAUUGCGAAGGCAGCCCACUAAGCAAUGAUUGACGCUGAGGCACGAAAGCGUGGGGAUCAAACAGG